rnacentral:rRNA from 3 species
AACUUUUAACAAUGGAUCUCUAGGCUCUCAUAUCGAUGAAGAACACAGUGAAAUGUGAUAAGUAAUGUGAAUUGCAGAAUUCAGUGAAUCAUUGAAUCUUUGAACGCACCUUGCACCUUUUGGUAUUCCAAAAGGUACACCUGUUUGAGUGUCAUG